rnacentral:rRNA from 1 species
UACGUAGGGUGCAAGCGUUAAUCGGAAUUACUGGGCGUAAAGCGUGCGCAGGCGGUGAUGUAAGUCAGGUGUGAAAUCCCCGGGCUUAACCUGGGAAUUGCGCUUGAAACUAGCGGGCUUGAGUGUGGCAGAGGGGGGUGGAAUUCCACGUGUAGCAGUGAAAUGCGUAGAGAUGUGGAGGAACACCGAUGGCGAAGGCAGCCCCCUGGGUCAACACUGACGCUCAUGCACGAAAGCGUGGGGAGCAAACAGG